rnacentral:rRNA from 1 species
AAAUGAAUAGACGGGGGCCCGCACAAGCAGUGGAGUAUGUGGUUUAAUUCGAAGCAACGCGAAGAACCUUACCAGGUCUUGACAUCCACCGAAUCCUGUAGAGAUACGGGAGUGCCCUUCGGGGAGCGGUGAGACAGGUGGUGCAUGGUUGUCGUCAGCUCGUGUCGUGAGAUGUUGGGUUAAGUCCCGCAACGAGCGCAACCCUUGUGAAUAGUUGCUACGAAAGAGCACUCUAUUCAGACCGCCGUUGACAAAACGGAGGAAGGUGGGGAUGACGUCAAAUCAUCAUGCCCCUUAUGACCUGGGCUACACACGUACUACAAUGGUCGUUAACAGAGGGAAGCAAGGCCGCGAGGUGGAGCGAACCCCUAAAAACGAUCUCAGUUCAGAUUGCAGGCUGAAACUCGCCUGCAUGAAGAUGGAAUUGCUAGUAAUCGCGGAUCAGCAUGCCGCGGUGAAUACGUUCCCGGGCCUUGUACACACCGCCCGU